AACUAAUAGAAGCCUCUCUCUCUCUCUCUCUCUCUCUCUCUCUCUGUGUGUGUGUGUGUGAGAGAGAGAGAGAGAGAGAGAGAGAGAGAGAAUUCUGAAGG